GGUUGUGGCUAGGAAGUUCCUGACAACCCAGGGCCAGUGAGUGUCUCGGAAGCCUGUGAGGGGCGGAGACCCGGCCCGGGGAGGUGGAGAAGCUCGGCGGCCGCGGGAGACUAGGGGUGAGGCUGCUGCGAGGAAGACCCGGUCAGCUGUCCCUUUCCCCAUCGGUCCUCUUAGGGGGAGUGGAGAUGUGGGCCUCGGAGCUGCGUGGCCCGGGCUGUGCGGAUUCCCUAAACGCCGCACUUGCGCACAGCCCCUUACGUAACCGUCAGUGCCGGGGAUUCCCUGGAGGGGGUCAUUCUAUUCAACCAUUAUACACACCCCGGGCUCCUGCCGCCGCGCCGCCGCCGCCUCACAAAAUGGCGGCGCCCAUAGAGGAGACCGCGGCCGCCUCCCCGGCCCCAUUUUGUGGGAGGCGAGAGAUCUGUCAACAUGGAAAACCUCUGCUGAGGAUGCAUUCGAGUUUGGAAACCCCACUUAAGGGAUGGAGCCUGGGGGAUCACAUUAAACGGAAAAUGCCAACGACUUCUACCACCUCUACGCGUUUUUAGUUUUUCAUUUUCUCGAAGGAAGCGCCAGAAGCCUGUGGAGUAAUUGUAACUAGAGGGAGAACGGAAAGCUGAGGUGACUGCUCCGGGGACUUGGCGCGGCGCCUUGAUGGUUUUGGUUGCUCUUCCACGCUCCCGGCAGCUGACCAGAAUCUCUUGGAGGGUCUCCUGGGCCACCUCGGCCGCGCCAGUCGUGCAGUGAGAAUUCUGUAGUUUUAAAAUGCCACAGUCCACGGCCCGGUCGGCACCGAUCGCCUGAAUCGUGGGCUUUGGGAACCUUGGAGGCUACUGCUCCAGGAACUCGCGGUCGGCCGGGAGCCGGGGAGCUUCGUUGCCGGGAGCGGGCGGUAUUCGCGGACUCCGGCGGCCCUGGCGGGUCGCGGCCGGGAUCCGAGCCGGGGAUGACGAUGCUGAUGGAGCUGAUGGGGCAAGAGUGGGAACGGAGGUUUCCUGCCUCAUCUGCCAGAGACUUCUU
rnacentral:lncRNA from 1 species